GAUGAACGCUGGCGGCGUGCCUAAUACAUGCAAGUAGAACGCUGAAGGAGGAGCUUGCUCUUCUGGAUGAUUUGCGAACGGGUGAGUAACGCGUAGGUAACCUGCCUGGUAGCGGGGGAUAACUAUUGGAAACGAUAGCUAAUACCGCAUGACAACAGUUAUUGCAUGAUAACUGUUUAAAAGGGGCAACUGCUCCACUACCAGAUGGACCUGCGUUGUAUUAGCUAGUUGGUGAGGUAACGGCUCACCAAGGCGACGAUACAUAGCCGACCUGAGAGGGUGAUCGGCCACACUGGGACUGAGACACGGCCCAGACUCCUACGGGAGGCAGCAGUAGGGAAUCUUCGGCAAUGGACGGAAGUCUGACCGAGCAACGCCGCGUGAGUGAAGAAGGUUUUCGGAUCGUAAAGCUCUGUUGUAAGAGAAGAACGAGUGUGAGAGUGGAAAGUUCACACUGUGACGGUAUCUUACCAGAAAGGGACGGCUAACUACGUG
rnacentral:rRNA from 1 species